rnacentral:rRNA from 1 species
GACGAACCCGUGCGAACGUUAUUCGGAAUUACUGGGCUUAAAGCGCGUGUAGGCGGGCCGGCACGUCCGACGCUGAAAUCCCCCGGCUCAACCGGGGAAGUGGCGGGGAUACGACCGGCCUCGAGGGGGGUAGGGGGACCUGGAACUUCCGGUGGAGCGGUGAAAUGCGUUGAGAUCGGAAGGAACGCCCGUGGCGAAAGCGAGGUCCUGGACCCUUUCUGACGCUGAGACGCGAAAGCCAGGGGAGCGAACGGGAUUAGAUACCCUGGUAGU